rnacentral:tRNA from 3 species
GCGAGCGUGGCGGAAUUGGUAGACGCACUGGAUUUAGGUUCCAGCGCCGAGAGGUGUGAGAGUUCGAGUCUCUCCGCUCGCA